GAUGAACGCUGGCGGCGUGCCUAAUACAUGCUAGUCGAGCGAACAGACGAGGAGCUUGCUCCUCUGACGUUAGCGGCGGACUGGUGAGUAACACGUGGAUAACCUACCUAUAAGACUGGGAUAACUUCGGGAAACCGGAGCUAAUACCGGAUCAUAUAUUGAACCGCAUGGUUCAUUAGUGAACGACGGUUUUGCUGUCACUUAUAGCUGGAUCCGCGCCGCAUUAGCUAGUUGGUAAGGUAACGCCUUACCAAGGCAACGAUGCGUAGCCGACCUGAGAGGGUGAACGGCCACACUGGAUCUGAGACCCGGUCCAGACUCCUACGGGAGGCAGAAGUAGGGAAUCUUCCGCAAUGGGCGAAAGCCUGACGGAGCGACGCCGCGUGAGGGAUGUGGGUCCUCGGAUCGGAAAGCUCUGUCAUUAGGCAAGAACGCAGGUCUAAGUAACCAUGCACGUCUUGACGGUAGCUAAUCAGAAAGCCACGGCUAACUACGAC
rnacentral:rRNA from 1 species